UGGGGAAUUUUGGACAAUGGGCGAAAGCCUGAUCCAGCAAUGCCGCGUGUGUGAAGAAGGCCUUCGGGUUGUAAAGCACUUUUGUCCGGAAAGAAAUCCUUGGCUCUAAUACAGUCGGGGGAUGACGGUACCGGAAGAAUAAGCACCGGCUAACUACGUGCCAGCAGCCGCGGUAAUACGUAGGGUGCAAGCGUUAAUCGGAAUUACUGGGCGUAAAGCGUGCGCAGGCGGUUUGCUAAGACCGAUGUGAAAUCCCCGGGCUCAACCUGGGAACUGCAUUGGUGACUGGCAGGCUAGAGUAUGGCAGAGGGGGGUAGAAUUCCACGUGUAGCAGUGAAAUGCGUAGAGAUGUGGAGGAAUACCGAUGGCGAAGGCAGCCCCCUGGGCCAAUACUGACGCUCAUGCACGGAAGCGUGGGGAGCAAAACAGGAUUAGAUACCCUGGUAGUCCACGCCCUAAACGAUGUCAACUAGUUGUUGGGGAUUCAUUUCCUUAGUAACGUAGCUAACGCGUGAAGUUGACCGCCUGGGGAGUACGGUCGCAAGAUUAAAACUCAAAGGAAUUGACGGGGUCAUAGCUGUUUCCU
rnacentral:rRNA from 1 species